rfam:Musa acuminata subsp. malaccensis Doubled-haploid Pahang (DH-Pahang) genomic chromosome, chr4
UGGCCUAUGAAGAUGCAUUUGAUCCUGAUAACACACCAUCUUUCGGGACUGAUUGGCACUUUGUGGCCAUGUUGUUAUUCUGCAAUUCUGAGGCAU